CCGAGUUUACAACUCCCAAACCCCUGUGAACAUACCUAUACGUUGCCUCGGCGGAUCAGCCCGCGCCCCGUAAAAAGGGACGGCCCGCCCGAGGACCCCUAAACUCUGUUUUUAGUGGAACUUCUGAGUAAAACAAACAAGUAAAUCA
rnacentral:misc_RNA from 1 species